rnacentral:rRNA from 1 species
GACGAACGCUGGCGGCGUGCUUAACACAUGCAAGUCGAACGGAAAGGCCCCUUUGGGGGUACUCGAGUGGCGCACGGGUGAGUAACACGUGAGUAACCUGCCCUUGACUUCGGGAUAACUUCAGGAAACUGGGGCUAAUACCGGAUAGGAAUCCUUGCUGCAUGGUGGGGGUUGGAAAGCUUCGGCGGUUUUGGAUGGACUCGCGGCUUAUCAGCUUGUUGGUGGGGUAGUGGCUUACCAAGGCUUUGACGGGUAGCCGGCCUGAGAGGGCGACCGGCCACAGUGGGACUGAGAUACGGCCCAGACUCCUACGGGAGGCAGCAGUGGGGAAUAUUGCACAAUGGGCGGAAGCCUGAUGCAGCAACGCCGCGUGCGGGAGGACGGCCUUCGGGUUGUAAACCGCUUUCAGCAGGGGCGAAGCUUGUGGUGACGGUACCUGCAGAAGAAGCACCGGCUAACUACGUG